rnacentral:rRNA from 1 species
GACGAACGCUGGCGGCGUGCCUAAUACAUGCAAGUUGAGCGAUGAAGAUUGGUGCUUGCACCAAUUUGAAGAGCAGCGAACGGGUGAGUAACGCGUGGGGAAUCUGCCUUUGAGCGGGGGACAACAUUGGGAAACGAAUGCUAAUACCGCAUAACAACUUUAAACAUAAGGUUUAAGUGUGAAAGAUGCAAUUGCAUCACUCAAAGAUGAUCCCGCGUUCCAUUAGCUAGUUGGUAAGGUAAAGGCUUACCAAGGCAAUGAUACAUAGCCGACCUGAGAGGGGGAUCGGCCACACUGGAACUGAGACACGGUCCAGACUCCUACGGGGGGAGGCAGUAGGGAAUCUUCCGCAAUGGGCGAAAGCCUGACGGGGCAACGCCGCGUGAUGGAUGAAGGUCUUCGAAUCGAAAAACUCGGUUAUUAGGGAAGAACAAAGGUGUAAGUAACUGUGCACGUCUUGACGGUACCUAAUCAGAAAGCCACGGCUAACUACGUG